CCAAGGCCAGGCUGGAGCAACCUGGGCUGGUGGAAGGUGUCCAGGGGAGGGACUGGAUGGGCUUUAAGGUCCCUUCCAACCCAAACCAUCCUGGGUUUCUAUAUGGAAUGGAAUGGAAUGGAAUGGAAUGGAAUGGAAUGGAAUGGAAUGGAAUGGAAUGGAAUGGAAUGGAAUGGAAUGGAAUGGAAUGAAUGGAAUAUUUCCUCAUGCCUGGUAAUUACAACAAUAGCUCGGGUCUAAAAGUCCUUCAGCCCCUUGCCCGACUGGUUUGUUUUGCUCCUCUUAUCCCAACAAACCUGUGCUGUGGAGUGUCCCAACAAACCUGUGCUGUGGAGUGUCCCAACAAACCUGUGCUGUGGAGUGUCCCAACAAACCUUUGCUGUGCAGUGUCCCAACAGAACCUGUGCUGUGGAGUGUCCCAAUAAAACCUGU